rnacentral:rRNA from 1 species
GAUCUGGCUCAGAACGAACGCUGGCGGCGCGUUUAAGCAUGCAAGUCGAGCGGCAAGGGCCUUCGGGCCCCUAGAGCGGCGGACGGGUGAGUAACACGUGGACAAUCUGCCCCCCGGCCCGGGGUAGCCCAGGGAAACCUGGAUUAAUACCGGAUGAGACGGGACCCGCGAUGGCGGGAUCCGGGAAAGGCGCUGCGGCGCCGCCGGGGGAUGAGUCUGCGUCCCAUUAGCUAGACGGCGGGGUAACGGCCCACCGUGGCGACGAUGGGUAGCCGGCCUGAGAGGGUGGACGGCCACAUUGGAACUGAGACACGGUCCAGACUCCUACGGGAGGCAGCAGCUAAGAAUCUUCCGCAAUGGGCGAAAGCCUGACGGAGCGACGCCCGCGUGAACGAAGAAGGCCGUGAGGUUGUAAAGUUCUUUUCGGGAGGGGGAACAACCGUGGCAGGGAAUGGCCGCGGGAUGACGUGAAUCCCGGAAUAAGCCCCGGCUAACUACGUGCCAGCAGCUGC